UAUUUAAUUAUUCUCACUUUCUCGUGGCAUUUUUGUAUUCUCAAUUUCUCACUAUCAAACAUAGAAAUAUUAGACAAUAUGACAUGCAACGAUUUAGGGGUGUUCACAAGUGUCGUAAAUUUUGAGGCUAUUGAAAUAUGACAUAAGACAAAAGACAAGGCUUGUGAAUUGCCGAAAUAAUUUAUAUCGGAACACACUGACUUUCACAGUUCUUCAAGAGUUCUAAGGCGAUUUGCUUCUUCAGAUUUAAGUGCUUGAAACCCUUUUCAUUGAACAAACAAAAACCAUAAUUCAAGGAAAAAAAUUAUCAAACUAUACAGUCAAGGCGAAUUUAUAGAAGCCGAAGUUGUCACAUCAUAAAAUUGCUUGUUCUUCCUUCCAUUUCAACAAAUCACGCAAAUAAAAUACACGAGAAACAUUGCACUAACAAAAUGCAUUAAACGCACCACACCAACAAAAUGCUUUUGGAUUUUUGUUUUUGUAUUAUUGCUACUACCGUGUGUGAAUUUGCUUGACGACAUCUUUUUGCUCUUAUACCCACACAUAUACAAUAUUUUCAUUCUAAUUGUUUUUUUUUUAUAGUACUGCUUUUCCGACAAUUUAAUUUGAAAGAAAUUACUUUAUUUAUUUAAAAAAAAAAUUUGAAAACCCUCGGAAUUUGAGGUUUCAAAGAUUUUAACAAAACGAUUUGAUAGCAGGAACGCCUCAUGUUUGGCAUCACUAAUGCAAAAAAAUUCGCUUUAUUUCAAUUUUCCUCGAGAGUUUCUCACAUAGAAGUUGUGUGUGAGUUUGUAUUAAAGAAAUGUUGAAAUUACUCGCUGUUGCAGUUGCUAGUAGAGGCAAUGGAAACUCAACCAGCUAUAGCUCGAGGAUUUUUUAAGAGUAAAAAGGAGGAGUUCAACCAAUUUUGGGUGAAGGUUAAUAUCGAAAUAAAUACCGUGGAACCGCCAAUACAAAAAAUAUUUUGAAAUGCAAGAAGAAAUACGUGUGGCUCAAAACUUAAAGGUCAGAUAACACGACAGGAGGUGGCUUCAAUGCAUAGCAUAAAUUGUCCCCUCCCGAAGGGAUGAAAGAGUCGGUGGAAUAGUUGCCUCGAGAGGAAGUUUGGAUUGCAGAAGCAGAAGACCUUGCCAAACGACGUGGAUAUUUGCUCUGGUCUAGAAUUUAACUACGUUGAAGAAGAAUUCCUUGCCAUUUCGUCACAUUUGCUUCAGCGGCCUAUAGAUAUAGUACCACAGUAUCCAUAAUUGUUUGUUUCACCAAAUUAUCAAAUGUCAACAAUACACAGCUGAUUACGAAAGAGAAAAAUCAUACUCCCAAAAAAUCA